CACCUGAGUUCAGCAAGAUAACCCGCUGAACUUAAGCAUAUCAGUAAGCGGAGGAAAAGAAACUAACAAGGAUUGCCCCAGUAGCGGCGAGUGAACAGGCAAAAGCUCAAAAUGGAAAUCCUUUUUGUAGAGAAAAGGAAUUGUAAUCUAGAGGACGGUUGCGAAGGCAUAGUUUCAGCAUGAGUUCCUUGGAAUAGGACGCCAAAGAGGGUGAUAGCCCCAUACAUGGCUGAGGCUGGCUGUAGGAGCUGUUUCAAAGAGUCGGGUUGUUUGGGAUUGCAGCCCUAAGUGGGAGAUAAACUUCUUCUAAAGCUAAAUAUUGAUGGGAAACCGAUAGCGAACAAGUACUACGAAGGAAAGAUGAAAAGAACUUUGAAAAGAGGGUUAAAAGACUUGAAAUCGUUGAGUAGGAAGCGGUUGGAGGGCAGUCACUUGCAACGAUAUUGGCGAGAGCAGGCCGGUCGCUGGGGGAAAAGGUACGAAAGGCCUAUUUUUCAGACGAUAACGGACAGCUGCGUCUUAUUCGAAAGCAAAAGACAGAUUGGACACCAGAGUGCGGGAAUAAACGGAAGGGGUCGAACCAGGUCUGACUUGGAGCCCUGACGCAGAAACCGGGACUCGGUGUUGAGGGAAAUCCUGCGGGAGAAUCUGUCACGACGUCUCCAACUGACCCGUCUUGAAACAC
rnacentral:rRNA from 1 species